rnacentral:rRNA from 1 species
GAGCGCACUUUAAUGUGACUCUUUGUAUCAACAUUACCACCCAACCCAGAGGUGCAUUGUGGCCUUUAACGAGGUUAGCAGUGUAUCAGUACGUAUCCCAAAGGCAACUUUGAGUUACAUUACCCAUCAUUUACCCCCAUUUACACUUAAGAAGUUUUAAGAAUGAUACCCAUACCUAUAUAACUUUCAGCAAUGGAUCUCUAGGCUCUCACGUCGAUGAAGAACACAGUGAAAUGUGAUACGUAAUGUGAAUUGCAGAAUUCAGUGAAUCAUCGAAUCUUUGAACGCACCUUGCACCUUUUGGUUAUUCCGAAAGGUACACCUGUUUGAAUGUCACNAAACCCCCCUCGGCUCUAAUGCUUUCUAAAAGGAUUUGAGACGGAUUCUGAGUGUUGGCGUGAUCACGCCUCGCUUCAAAUANAUCAGCACUUUUGGAUGGUUGAAUAUUAGUUUGAAAGACGUACUUGAUGUUGUAUUUAUAUUUCGUUGAGGCAGUCUUUGGUCGUUCCGACUAUCCGCUAAUAUGAAGACUUGAAGAAUAGCUUCCUAACCCUAUGAAUUAACCUU